GUGAUGCUCCCAAGUGCACAGGGACAGAAAGUAGAAUGGUGGUUGCCAGGAGCUGGGUAGAGGGGAAUGAGGGAGUUGUUUCACGGGUACAGAGUUUCAGUUUAGGAUGAUGGAAGAGUUCUAGAGAUGGAUGAUGGUGGUGAGUGCACAACCACGUGACUAUUUAGUGCCACUAAACUGUACACUUAAAAAUUGAUUAAAAUAAGCUUUAUGUUGUGUACAUAUUACCACAAAUACAAUAAAAGAAAUGAAGUUCUCAUACGUGCUGCAGCAGGGAUGAACCUUGAAAAGAUUAUGCUAAGUGGCCGGGCAUGGUGGCUCACACGCCUGUAAUUACAGCACUUUGGGAGGCUGUGGCAGGAGGAUCGUUUGAGCUAAGGAGCUGGAGACCAGCGUGGGCAACAUGGCGAAACCUGGUCUCUACCAAAAAUACAAAAAUUAGCUAGGCAGUGGUGGCAGCGCACCUGUAGUCCCAGCUAUUUGGGAGGCUGAGGUGGGAGGAUCACUUGAAACCCGGAGGUGGAGGUUGCAGUGAGCUGAGCGCCACUGUGCCCCAGCCUGGGCGACAGAACGAGACCGUGUCUCAAAGAAAAAAAAAUAAAAAAUAAAAAACCUUGUACUAAGCAAAAUAAGCCGACACAGAAGGACGAAUAUUAUAUGAUUCCACUUAUACGAAAUACCUAGAAUAGGUAAAUUCAUUAGACAAUUAGCCAAAGUGUAUCAGAGGAGGUUGGGGGGAUGCUGAGGGGAGGGGAAAAGAAAAAAGAAAAUCAAGGGGUGGGAAGCAAAUGGCUGCGGGGUAGAAGGGGAGUGGGCUGCCGCUUGGGUGUGUGGGCGUCAGGGGGAGACGGGACAGGCGAUUUAGGCCCUGCGCGCAGGCGCCCCUGCGCUCCCGCCGUACGCAGCUGUCUUUGUCUGGGGCGGCGGCAGCGUGGCAGGAGCGAGGGGCGCCCCGACCCGUCCCCUCUGCCCUCCACUACCCCUGCCGGCUCCAGCCCGUCCGUGUCUCACCGUCUUUAUUUAACAAAGAACGGAGAGACUAUAAAUGACCCUGAGCAGAGUGGCUGCGAGCAGGGCCCCUGGGGCGUCCCACGGGCGUCAUCCUAGCCGCGUGAGCGCCGAGCUUGGGCACCGGGGGGGUUGGCGUGCUUGUACACUUGCUCCGUUUUCUCUAAACUGCCGCGAUGAAUGUCAGUCCCCAGAGCCGGAACCGUUCCCGGUUUUCUCUACUUGGAUCUGAGAACUCUGUCCCUCCAGCCCUGCGAGCGCUUUGCCAGGGUGACGGGCGGAAAUGUCCCCGCAUCCGUGCCUGCUUUCCCAGAUGGGACCCUCCAGCAGUCCCCUCCACUGCCCGUGCUUCCUCCUAACCACUUCCCCCCAGCGACCGCGGAAGGCGCUUCCUCCCCCGCAGCGCGAGCCCCAAGCUCCUCCAGAGCCCCAGCUCUCCCCGCCCCCUUCCCGACCUUGUUUCAUAUGACCCCUCCCCCGCACAUACUCAAUUUCGUCUUCCCAAGGCGCCCACUCUCCACAUCCUGAUGAAAAAAAGAGCCGGCUGCUGUCCUAUGUUAUUGUCAUACUUCUUUCCUCCCGUGCACUACACAACUUGAACAACUUUUUUUUUUCUUUUUUUGAGAAAAGGUCUCGAACUGUCGCCCAGGCUGGAGUACAGUGGCACGAUGAUGGCUCACUGCAGCCUCGCCCUCUCUGGGCACAGGUGAUCCUCCUGCCUCAGCUUCCCAAGAAGCUGGUACUACAGGCGCGUGCCACCACUAUUGGCUAAUUUUAAUUUUUUUUUAACCACAGGGUCUCGCUAUGUUGCCCAGGCUGGUCUCGAACCCCUAGGCUCAAGGGAUCCUCUCACCUCAGCCUCCCAAAGCGUGAGAUUACAGGCGUGAGCCACCGCGCCCCGCGGUAAAUACUAUUCCAAGGAAAUGGCACCUGAGUUUGAGGAGAUUAAUCGGGUUUACUGCAGGGAAGGAGCAUUGGCCCUGGUGGCCAGAGGCAAGGGUACGAACCUGACCCUGCCCUUUCCCUGCCUGGUUCUGCCUUCAGCAAAUUGUUCCACACAUCUCUGGUUUCCUCCCCACAUGAUCCCAAGGCCCUGCUGGCUCUAGCCUUUGUGAGGCUAGAAUUACAAUUCCAUUCCUCCCCAGCCACGCCCCAUCUCUUGCUCCCUGUGCUAGCGCUUUCCCCAAUCAGCCACACUUUCCUUUCCCAUUCACUGAGCCUGUGGAAAGCCCUCUUAUUCUGAAUAUCUAGAUCCUAUUCACCUUUGAAGACCCGACUUGGCCACGUUUCUUCCCAAAGCCUACUGCAUGCCCUUUGUGGGAGGAACUGCUCUGUCCUUGCAACGCCACUGUGUGUAGUACUUUCUCUGUAUCUUACCAGUGGCAUCGCCCACUCUGCCUGGGGUGCUGUUCCAUACUUGCCCUUCUUCCAGUGCCAUCUAUGUGUGUGGUAAGACCUCAGCAUAGCACUUUGCCCACGGUAAAGGAUAUGGUUUCGGGAGUCCCAAGACCCGGGUCCACGUCCCAGCUCUGACACUAAAUGUGUUAUCUUGAACAUGUCACAUGGCCUUUCUGAGCUUAAUUUCCCCAAAUGUAAAAUGGAAAUAGUAACUUAUUUCAUAGUGUUGCUGUGUUGAUUAGAUGAGACAUUAUAUAAGAAAAUGCUUUGUGAACUGUAAAGCUAUUUACACACAUAAAUAAUAGUAAAGAUAGAUAUUAUUCAGAUGCUGGCAAGAGGGAUAUUCUUUGCAAAACAGAAUUAAAAAAAAAAAAGAAAA
rnacentral:lncRNA from 10 species